rnacentral:lncRNA from 1 species
GUGGAGUACUCACCUACCUGCUGCAUGAAGGCAGCAUGGAGGGACUGUGGUGGAUUAUCUGCAAAGAUGGCCAAAAUUCUCUCAUCCCUGCAGGCACAUACAAGAUGCCAGAAUCAGUCAAAACUAAGCUCACUGUCCUUGCUAAUAUUCUGCCCCAGAGAAGAACUGAAGCUCAGCUAUUCACCCUACAGAAAGCCUGAAUUUUGUAAAAGUUCUGCUUAGAAUGAGGAAGAAAGAUGAAGAAUGAGGAGGAAGAAGGGAGGAACAAGAGAGAGAGCCAGGUUUCCAGAAGUUCCCCAGUCAUUGAGCAUUUCUGAGGCUCUUGAUGCAUAUGCCAAGUAGUUAUGGAGAAAGACACAGCAGCUUACCUCUGCAGGCAUCAUUGUGUGAAAGGAAGACCCAGGCUCUCUCACCACCCUUCAACAGAAGCCUUUUGCUAAGGUGAUAGCUACAUGUCCAAGCCUAUUGCGUGGCAUGCAUUUUGCCUUCUGCAGCCCACUAAAGGAGUUUGCAGUUCACCCGCAAACCUCAGCGAUCCAAGCUCCCCUGGAUGACCAUCACUCACCAAGAAAAGAACAAUAACAGGACCUGUUUUGCUAAUCCAGGACUGUUCUCCAGCACUAACUCUAAAUAAUCCCUUCUGCUAGAGUCCACUUUCUGGAACCUGUUGCCUCCGUUUUCAACGUUUCCCAAACUUGGUCCGUUGUGUGAGCUGGCUGAUAAAAGUUCCAGGGAGAGGACAUCUUACUCUUAUUGGAUCAUGCACAGUGCCUGAAGCAUUCUGUUGCAUGUAGAAAUCAGUAAAUUGCAGAUGUAA